rnacentral:lncRNA from 1 species
CCCCACUUUCUUUUCUUUAACUUUGAAGAUUCAAAUCCGUUUACCAAAUCCACCAUCUUGACUAUUUUUUAUGGAUUGUACUUUAAAAUUAAACAACUACCAAUUUCCUUCAACAUUGAGUAAAACAUCAUUAAUUCUACAAACCAUAACCAACCAACAAUUUACUACCAUUUUGAAAAUGUACUAACAUUGACUAUGAUGAUUCUAAAAUGAGAUUGCUAGCAUCAGCUGCAGAAAGAGAGUGAUUGUGCUCUCCUUCAUAGGUAACUACCAGCAUAGAAGCAUCAUCAAGAGCUCUCUCUACAUGCUUUCUUGCUGGACACCCUCUCACACUGCUACACUUGUAGUAUCCCCUGUCAUUGUUCCAAAAAUUACACAAAAUCAGCAUCAUUCACUCACAAGAUUCAUCAUCAUAGACUAAAAAAUCCAUUACACAAAAAAAGUCAAAUAAAAAAAUAUCUUACAAUCAUUCAUAAACAUUUGGUCCACUCAACUCAUCUAGCUAUUGUCUAGCAUAAAUACAUAUAAAAUCUAGCACAAAAAUAGAAAUCUAAUCUAGCACAAAUACAUAAAAUAAAUAGGUUCGUACAUAGGUGAAGAAAAAAAGAUCAAUUUAUGAUGUAAUUGAAUUGAAAGUACCUUGGAUGAGGUGAACCUUUAAUAGGUUUCUGACCAUAUUUUCUCCAAGAAUAAUCAUCUGGUGGAAUAUCAGCCAUCUUCAAGCUAAUUGCAGGAACCCGAACAACUCUCUUCAAUCUCAUUUUCCUACUGUAACAACCCAAUUUAGAAUAUCAGAAAAAACAUCUAAAAAAAACUCAUUUUUCAUUUACAAAAUGGAAAAAUAAAUAAAGGGUUAUGAUUCUUUUGAAGAAAGUUUAGGUGAAAUAUGAAGAUUUCACAUACCUUUUUUUGGAACAAUGACAACGGCUAGAAGAACUACCACACUUUCCAGAACCCAAAGUUUCAGAGCUACACUUCCUUUUCAAUGAAGAAGAAGAGAGUGGUGGCUUACCAACAGAUGAAACAUGAGACAGAUUUGUAAUCUGAAAAGCACCCGCCGGAGACGACAUCGACGGUUGUUUGUUGUUGUCGUCGCCAGUGAGUGAAGAAAUGAAAGAAUUACCAGCAGAAGAGUAUGAAAAAUUAAGAGUUUUUGAAGAAUCAUUUCUCUUGAUUAUAGGACGGUGAAGGGUAGUAGAAACAGUUGGUGGAAUCUGUUGCAAAGGUGUAGCGUUGAAAAUCAUUGGUUCAGAAGGUUGAAAUUGUAGGGUUUGUGAUGGUGGUGGUUGUGGUUGUGGUAAAGGAGCUUUUCUGAAACGAGCAUGACCAGUUCUAGUUUUUUCAAGCAGUGAAAUAACACGUUUGAACUUGGAAACAGCUAUGUCUGCAACAGCUUUGCAAUCUCUUUCUAUAUCCAUAGUAGGGUUGUUGUUAUUGUUGUUAGGGUUUGAAGGUGAAAAGGAAGAGGAAGAAGAUGAAGAAGGUUGGUAUUUGUGACGUGCUUCUGAGAGAAGUUUUAUGAGUUUUUCAACACUUUCUAAACCAGAAGCUGCUUCUUGGACAGCAUUUUCUUCUGCUUUGGUAGUGAAAGAUUGGUUUCUGUUGUAGCCUGUCAUGAGCUCCACGGCCAUUGUUGUGGCAACAAGACCAUAGAAGAAGAAGAAGUUGAAGAAGAGGAUGAGAGAGAGAAAAUAAAACGGGUGAGAAUAAAGAGGUAGAAAGAGAGAGGGUGUGUGUUGACAAAGAA